rnacentral:rRNA from 1 species
GUCUAUGGCCACACCACCCUCAACUCGCCUGAUCUCCUCAGCCAAGCAGGGUCGGCCUGGUUAGUACUUGGAUGGGAGACAGAUCUUCAGAGGAGACCGCUCGGAGACAAGCAGUUUGGAGACA